GGCUAAACCAUGCACCGAAGCUGCGGCAGCGACGCUGAUGCGUUGUUGGGUAGGGGAGCGUUCUGUAAGCCUGUGAAGGUGGCCUGUGAGGGUUGCUGGAGGUAUCAGAAGUGCGAAUGCUGACAUAAGUAACGAUAAAGCGGGUGAAAAGCCCGCUCGCCGGAAGACCAAGGGUUCCUGUCCAACGUUAAUCGGGGCAGGGUGAGUCGACCCCUAAGGCGAGGCCGAAAGGCGUAGUCGAUGGGAAACGGGUUAAUAUUCCCGUACUUGGUGUUACUGCGAAGGGGGGACGGAGAAGGCUAUGUUGGCCGGGCGACGGUUGUCCCGGUUUAAGCGUGUAGGUGUGUGUUCCAGGUAAAUCCGGUUCACUUUAACACUGAGGCGUGAUGACGAGGCACUACGGUGCUGAAGCAACAAAUGCCCUGCUUCCAGGAAAAGCCUCUAAGCAUCAGGUAACAUCAAAUCGUACCCCAAACCGACACAGGUGGUCAGGUAGAGAAUACCAAGGCGCUUGAGAGAACUCGGGUGAAGGAACUAGGCAAAAUGGUGCCGUAACUUCGGGAGAAGGCACGCUGACAC
rnacentral:rRNA from 1 species